AUGGAGCCAAACCUCUCCGACGCAGGCGCUGGAGGUGGCGAGGACCGCCUCAGCGCGCUGCCCGGCGACCUCCUCGUCCACAUCCUCCUCAAGCUCCGCAACGCCCCCGCCGCCGCUCGGACCAGUGUCCUCGCCCGCCGCUGGCGCCGCGCCUGGGCUCUCCUCCCGGAGCUCCACUUCCCCCGCGGCACUCACCCCGACAGCAUACGCGCGGCCCUCACCGCACAUGAUGCGCCGGCUCUUGGCCACCUCUUCGUCACCACCACCACCACUGAGGUCACCCUAGAAUCCGUCGAGGCAUGGCUCACCAUCGCCGCGCGCCGCCUCUCCGGUGUCCUGAGCUUUCAAAUCUCCAAGAGAUGGAACAUGGCCGGGGAAAGAGGCGCCUUGAACCUGCCUUGCUUCGAGAAAGCAACCAAGGUUGGGCUCACCCUAUCCUCUAAUGGCCUCGCCCUGCCGCCUUCCGGCGUAUUUACUCGGCUUGCAGAUCUGGAGCUGUUUGGCAUCACGCUGCAUGGUCCCUGUACCCUCGGUGAUCUUGUCUCUACACCACGGUGUCCAUCACUGCGCCGCCUUUGUGUUUACAGUGUCACCGGCCUUCUAGACAAGCUCAUAAUUCAUUCGAAAUCUCUCUUACAAUUGGAGCUCAAUAAUCUGCCUAGCUUGGAGCUGCUCGAUGUGGUUGUGAUAGCUCUUCAAGAUUUAGUAGUAAACUCUUGCUUCAGCGAUCACAGUAGACCGGUUGCAACUGUUGGUAGUACUUAUUUGUAA
rnacentral:rRNA from 1 species